rnacentral:rRNA from 1 species
GACGAACCGAGCGAACGUUGUUCGGAAUCACUGGGCUUAAAGGGCGCGUAGGCGGGCGGCCGCGUCCGGGGUGAAAUCCCACGGCUCAACCGUGGAACGGCCUCGGAUACGGGCGGCCUGGAGGCGGGUAGGGGCAGGCGGAACUGUGGGUGGAGCGGUGAAAUGCGUUGAGAUCCACAGGAACUCCGGUGGCGAAGGCGGCCUGCUGGACCCGAACUGACGCUGAGGCGCGAAAGCCGGGGGAGCGAACGGG